GAACGAGUUCUCGUUGAUGAUCGGUGCUUGCACCGAGAUUCAACAUGGAACGAGUGGCGGACGGGUGAGUAACACGUGGGUAACCUGCCCUUAAGUGGGGGAUAACAUUUGGAAACAGAUGCUAAUACCGCAUAGAUCCAAGAACCGCAUGGUUCUUGGCUGAAAGAUGGCGUAAGCUAUCGCUUUUGGAUGGACCCGCGGCGUAUUAGCUAGUUGGUGAGGUGAUGGCUCACCAAGGCGAUGAUACGUAGCCGAACUGAGAGGUUGAUCGGCCACAUUGAGACUGAGACACGGCCCAAACUCCUACGGGAGGCAGCAGUAGGGAAUCUUCCACAAUGGACGCAAGUCUGAUGGAGCAACGCCGCGUGAGUGAAGAAGGCUUUCGGGUCGUAAAACUCUGUUGUUGGAGAAGAAUGGUCGGCAGAGUAACUGUUGUCGGCGUGACGGUAUCCAACCAGAAAGCCACGGCUAACUACGUGCCAGCAGCCGCGGUAAUACGUAGGUGGCAAGCGUUAUCCGGAUUUAUUGGGCGUAAAGCGAGCGCAGGCGGUUUUUUAAGUCUGAUGUGAAAGCCCUCGGCUUAACCGAGGAAGCGCAUCGGAAACUGGGAAACUUGAGUGCAGAAGAGGACAGUGGAACUCCAUGUGUAGCGGUGAAAUGCGUAGAUAUAUGGAAGAACACCAGUGGCGAAGGCGGCUGUCUGGUCUGUAACUGACGCUGAGGCUCGAAAGCAUGGGUAGCGAACAGGAUUAGAUACCCUGGUAGUCCAUGCCGUAAACGAUGAAUGCUAGGUGUUGGAGGGUUUCCGCCCUUCAGUGCCGCAGCUAACGCAUUAAGCAUUCCGCCUGGGGAGUACGAC
rnacentral:rRNA from 1 species